UUUCCGUAGGUGAACCUGCGGAAGGAUCAUUAUUGUAUACCCGAGGUGCGAGGGCUGUCGCUGACCCGAAAGGUCGUGCACGCCCGAGUGCCCUCACACACAUCCAUCUCACCCCUAUGUGCACCACCGCGUGGGUCCCCCUUUGGCUUGUUCGGUGGGGGGCUUACGUUUUCACACAAACUUUGUAUGCAGUGUAGAAUGUAUUUUUUGUUUUUGCGAUCACGCAAUCAAUACAACUUUCAACAACGGAUCUCUUGGCUCUC
rnacentral:misc_RNA from 1 species